rnacentral:rRNA from 1 species
ACUCAAAUGAAUUGACGGGGGCCCGCACAAGCGGUGGAGCAUGUGGUUUAAUUCGAUGCAACGCGAAGAACCUUACCUACCCUUGACAUCCUUCGAAUCUUAUAGAGAUAUGAGAGUGCCGAAAGGAGCGAAGAGACAGGUGCUGCAUGGCUGUCGUCAGCUCGUGUCGUGAGAUGUUGGGUUAAGUCCCGUAACGAGCGCAACCCUUGUCCUUAGUUGCCAGCACGUAAAGGUGGGAACUCUAAGGAGACUGCCGGUGAUAAACCGGAGGAAGGUGGGGAUGAGGUCAAGUCAUCAUGGCCUUUAUGGGUAGGGCCACACACGUGCUACAAUGGUUGUUACAAAGGGAAGCGAAGUCGCGAGGCGGAGCAAAUCUCAAAAAGGCAAUCGUAGUCCGGAUUGGAGUCUGCAACUCGACUCCAUGAAGUUGGAAUCGCUAGUAAUCGCGGAUCAGAACGCCGCGGUGAAUACGUUCCCGGGCCUUGUACACACCGCCCGU